GAUGAACGCUGGCGGCGUGCCUAAUACAUGCAAGUCGAGCGAAUGGAUUAAGAGCUUGCUCUUAUGAAGUUAGCGGCGGACGGGUGAGUAACACGUGGGUAACCUGCCCAUAAGACUGGGAUAACUUCGGGAAACCGGGGCUAAUACCGGAUAACAUUUUGAACCGCAUGGUUCGACAUUGAAAGUCGGCUUCGGCUGUCACUUAUGGAUGGAGCCGCGUCGCAUUAGCUAGUUGGUGAGGUAACGGCUAACCAAGGCAACGAUGCGUAGCCGACCUGAGAGGGUGAUCGGCCACACUAGGACUGAGACACGGCCCAGACUCCUACGGGAGGCAGCAGUAGGGAAUCUUCCGCAAUGGACGAAAGUCUGACGGGGCAACGCCUCGUGAACGAUGAAGGCCUUCGGGUCGUAAAGUUCUAUUGUUAGGGAAGAACAAGUACCAGAGUAACUGCUGGUACCUUGACGGUACCUAACCAGAAAGCCACGGCUAACUACGUGCCAGCAGCCGCCGUAA
rnacentral:rRNA from 1 species